CGGAAAUGCUGCACUUGCGUGUUUAAAACGACCUGUGGGGCUUCACGUCAAUGGAGGCUGGAUCGGAUCCGUUUUACGUGCUUUUCCAGUGUAAACCCGUUGGGUGAAGGAUCCUCUCACCCUCACUUAAGUUUCUCCGAGGAUGUAAAUCUAAAUGAACCAGAGAGGCUUCCUAGCUAUCUAUCUGGCAGUCUGGAGAAAAGAUAUUAAUGGCUUUAGAGAGGAAGAAUCUGAGACAGUUGUUCCUGAUCAGCUAUGGAGGCAAAUUUCUUAACAAAGAAGGAGACAGAGGACUUGGCUAUCUACCCACCAGAGACCAGAGCUGCAAUUGAAAUAAGUCACAUAAAAUGUGCCCCCUUCCAAAGUAAGCAGACAUUAAUGAUUUGUGAAGUUGGGUGAAUUCAUUUAAAACACCAGGAAACAAUCUUAAAGCAUUUUUAAACUACAGUAUAAUUUUUUAAAAAAAAACACACACACACAAUUUAAUGGUUAGCAUACCUAGAUUUAAUAAAGACUCUCUGGGAAUGUUAUUGGCAUUUUUCCUUUGAGGCUUUUCUCUGUCUCAAACAUCAAGAAAUCGAAUGUUUGAAGAAAAGAAAGCCAGGCGGGACUAUUUGGAGACAGUCAAAAUCCACUUUGGCUCUUCUCCAGAUCAUGCUGCUUUUGAAGCCCCAUGGGGUUCCAGAUCCAGACCAAGAAAAUGCCCUUUUGUGUGCCCACAUAUGCAAAUAGCCCCUUCUCAAACCUUGGUCAAAUCAUCAACAGCGGCUGUAUGAAUUUCUAAGAAAAGAAUACAAUUGUGUGUGUGUGUGUGUGAGGUUAUGUAUUUGUGACAUAGUAGCAAAAGAAAAUGUAUUUCUCCAUAUAUGUCUUUAUAUAUGAUUCUACACAGAGAAAUGUGCACAUUCCUUAAUUGUUGAAAAAUAACUCCCUUUUAAAUUAUCCUUACAGACACUCAAGUUAAAAUCAGUUUAUUUAUGUUCUCAACUACUUUGAAAAUUGCAGUGGUCCUUUCUGUGCAUAGGGGAAAUGUGUGUGUGUGUAGGAAUUUUUGCAUACAAUCAUAAAAGAGUUAAGGGAAACCCCAUUGUGAUGUUCAGCUUUGAGUGACUGCAACUGUUUGGUAAAAUGCAGACCCGUUUUUUGGUCAAAAGAGCAUAAUUGGGGUGUCAAUUCUAUUAAUCUGAAUAACUCUUACAACUUCUGAGCAAAUAAGACACAAGAAAUAGUUAAAGCCGUUAUGACCACAGAGUUCAAUCCAGGUAAAAUGGAGAUUCACAUCUAAAACCCCACACAUCUUAAAACCACACCUUAAUAGCAUAUUGGGUCCUAUAUAAUUCAGUGACAUUUAUUAGCAAAACAACAACGUAUAUCCAUUAAGGCAUAUAUAAGCAUGGAGCUAACUUCUAAGAAAAUGUGCAAACAAUUAUUUUGCUAAUGAGGAAAUAUUUCCAUGUAAGCCAUGUGCACUGAUACAAAAAGUAAUUUUAACUUGGUAUGAAUUUAUAGGACAAUCUAAUUCAUUCUGUAUACUGUUAAGGGACAAUCUGCAACCAUUUACUUGAUUUUGCACAAAACUUUGAAAAAAACAGUCCAGCCAGAAUGUAAAUAUUAAUAAUUACAAGAGGUUGCAGUAACAAGUUUUUUUUUUUAUUCUUCACAUUCCAACUGAAAUUGUGGAAAUGACAAUAAUGCUUUCAGCAACAGCAAAUAAUAAACUAUUUAGCCCUGGGUGCUUUGAUCUAGGAUGAUUCUAGUAAAGAAUACCUUUUGGAGAAAAUUAGAUAGUUAGAAAUAAAAUUUGACUUGUGGAAUUCUCUUGGCUGAUUCCAAAUUCAAUUUUAAAGACAUUGCAAAGAAUUUCUUCUAUGGCUAAUUUUGGAAGGAAAAGGAGAGAAAAAAAAAAUAACAGAACGACUGAUAGCAAAGAGCCUCUGUAUGAAAGCUGGGUUUAAAAAGUACCUGCUGACGAUUUUAAAACUACGGAAAGAUCAAGGAUUUCAAGAAGAGGCACCCAGCAAGACCAAUGUGCACAUAGUGAAUACCAGGCUGGUUCGAGGCUGUAGCAAAAUGCCCAGGAUCUUCACGGAUGAUAAGGCUCCAUGGUGCCAGGCAUGGAGAGAAAUCAGAAAUGCCUUCUUCAUUGACCACAUUAGGAUGUCAUGAGAUAGGUGAAAGUUGUUGGUGCAGACUUAAAAUGCAGUGAAAGUGAAAGGUUUCAAAUUCCCGGAAGAAAAGUAAACAGCUCACACAACCUGGAGCCCACUUACUCCAAAGCAUACCUUAGAAGUACCACCUUUCGGGUGAUUCGGUCUGUUCUGACUCGCCCGCCCGAGAGCAGGCGAUCAACCAAGCGGUCAAACGAAGGGAAUUAGAGAUGAGGGUGAAAGAUUGCAGAGGAAAACAGCAGGUCUGGUGCAUAUCUGUUUUCCUCACCUUCUAAAUUCCAUAUAUUUAUUUAUUUGCAUACAAUAAUUCCCUUUCAAAUGCGCCAUGGGGGGGGGGAAAUGCAUUAACAUCCCGCUCCUUUACCAAAACGCAGCACAAAGCCCGCCUUUUCUGCAGCACAUUUUACAUGUUCAGUCGAGUUUGUUUCAAGAUUUGAGGACCUCGCAGCUUUAGUCAGACGCUAGGUUUUGUUUAAGUACCCUUUUCCAAAGACCAAGAUGAUCUACUCUCAUAAGAAACCACCGCAUUCUGGGUAGGAACGUUCCAGGAAAGUUUUACGCGAGAGAGGGAAUGUGAAUCGGACCAAGCGUUACAAUUUGAGUUAUUUCAGAGUAAACAGAUGCCUUACCCUUGUGGCAAGCUCACCGUAUUGUUUUGUUUGUUUGUUUGUUUGUUUUAUUUUUGGAAACCUGAGCCUUGGAAACGAACAUGUUUGCAAAAAAAUAAUAAUCCGGCCGCUCCUUAAAACGCGACGCGGCGAUUUCUUUUUGCAGCAAAAAAAAAAAAAAAAAAAGUCUCUGAAGUAGGAGACGUUCCUGGGAUCCCGGCGGGGGAUUUUUCACUAGGAUCGCCAAGAGAGACAAAAUCCCAUUUAAAAAAAAACAAAAAAAACAAAAACCCAGCAGCCACAAUAACAGAACUGUUGCCGGCUCCUAAUUAGACUUCUAGAAUGAAAAAAUAAUUUGGGAGGUGGGGGUGGGGGGUGGACAGGAAAUGGAUUGAUAUUGUCUCCGUAACCCAGUCCUUGCCCG